rnacentral:tRNA from 1 species
GCCGAGAUAGCUCAGCUGGUAGAGCGGCGGUAUCGUAAACCGUAGGUCGUGGGUUCGAUCCCCAUUCUCGGCUCCA